rnacentral:rRNA from 1 species
GUGCAAGUCGAGGGGCAGCGGGGUGUAGCAAUACACUGCCGGCGACCGGCGCACGGGUGCGUAACGCGUAUGCAACCUACCCAUAACAGGGGCAUAACACUGAGAAAUUGGUACUAAUUCCCCAUAACAUUCGAAGAGGCAUCUCUUUGGGUUGAAAACUCCGGUGGUUAUGGAUGGGCAUGCGUUGUAUUAGCUAGUUGGUGAGGUAACGGCUCACCAAGGCGACGAUACAUAGGGGGACUGAGAGGUUAACCCCCCACAUUGGUACUGAGACACGGACCAAACUCCUACGGGAGGCAGCAGUGAGGAAUAUUGGUCAAUGGACGCAAGUCUGAACCAGCCAUGCCGCGUGCAGGAUGACGGCUCUAUGAGUUGUAAACUGCUUUUGUACGAGGGUAAACGCAGAUACGUGUAUCUGUCUGAAAGUAUCGUACGAAUAAGGAUCGGCUAACUCCGUGCCAGCAGCCGCGGUAAUACGGAGGAUUCAAGCGUUAUCCGGAUUUAUUGGGUUUAAAGGGUGCGUAGGCGGUUUGAUAAGUUAGAGGUGAAAUUUCGGGGCUCAACCCUGAACGUGCCUCUAAUACUGUUGAGCUAGAGAGUAGUUGCGGUAGGCGGAAUGUAUGGUGUAGCGGUGAAAUGCUUAGAGAUCAUACAGAACACCGAUUGCGAAGGCAGCUUACCAAACUAUAUCUGACGUUGAGGCACGAAAGCGUGGGGAGCAAACAGGAUUAGAUACCC